rnacentral:rRNA from 1 species
UGGGGAAUAUUGGACAAUGGGGGCAACCCUGAUCCAGCCAUGCCGCGUGUGUGAAGAAGGCCUUUUGGUUGUAAAGCACUUUAAGCAGUGAAGAAGACUCCAUGGUUAAUACCCAUGGACGAUGACAUUAGCUGCAGAAUAAGCACCGGCUAACUCUGUGCCAGCAGCCGCGGUAAUACAGAGGGUGCAAGCGUUAAUCGGAAUUACUGGGCGUAAAGCGAGCGUAGGUGGCUUGAUAAGUCAGAUGUGAAAGCCCCGGGCUUAACCUGGGAACGGCAUCUGAUACUGUUAGGCUAGAGUAGGUGAGAGGAAGGUAGAAUUCCAGGUGUAGCGGUGAAAUGCGUAGAGAUCUGGAGGAAUAUCGAUGGCGAAGGCAGCCUUCUGGCAUCAUACUGACACUGAGGGUCGAAAGCGUGGGUAGCAAACA